GAGCGGGAGACGGGGCCUUGACAAUGGCAGUCGAGCGGUGGGGGGGGUGCUUGCACCCCGCUGACGAGCGGCGGACGGGUGAGUAAUGCAUAGGAAUCUGCCCAGUAGUGGGGGAUAGCCCGGGGAAACCCGGAUUAAUACCGCAUACGCCCUUUGGGGGAAAGCAGGGGAUCUUCGGACCUUGCGCUAUUGGAUGAGCCUAUGUCGGAUUAGCUAGUUGGUGGGGUAAAGGCCUACCAAGGCGACGAUCCGUAGCUGGUCUGAGAGGAUGAUCAGCCACAUCGGGACUGAGACACGGCCCGAACUCCUACGGGAGGCAGCAGUGGGGAAUAUUGGACAAUGGGGGCAACCCUGAUCCAGCCAUGCCGCGUGUGUGAAGAAGGCUUUCGGGUUGUAAAGCACUUUCAGUGAGGAGGAAAACCUUCUGGUUAAUACCCAUGAGGCUUGACGUUACUCACAGAAGAAGCACCGGCUAACUCCGUGCCAGCAGCCGCGGUAAUACGGAGGGUGCAAGCGUUAAUCGGAAUUACUGGGCGUAAAGCGCGCGUAGGUGGUUUGAUAAGCGAGAUGUGAAAGCCCCGGGCUUAACCUGGGAA
rnacentral:rRNA from 1 species